AUUAAAGCGAUGAUGAGGAUAAGUAAGCUUAGCAUUAGCAAGUACAGAAAGCCGGUGGUGGAUGCGAACCGGUAUUGCAUGCUUUGUCUGAAUGGCCCUCAGAGCUCCCAGGCACAACGAGAAGUAUUAUUCUUCUUUAGUAUGCCGGACGAUGGUUUCCGCGUUAAGGAACAUAAAAGGCUGAUGAAUAUCAGUGAAUUAGGGUGGCACCACGGUCUCACGUCCCUUCU
rnacentral:ncRNA from 1 species